GCUUGUUUUGACCCGAACCCGAACGCAGCCGAUACGUGGUCGGCCCUGUGGCAGAGUAUACGUUGGCUCUUCUUCCAUUGGAGCUCCGUAAGGUGCUUAAACGGUAACUUCUUGUUGAAAGGCAAAACGAGAAGAUGGGUCGACCUCUGAACCCAAUUGAAGGAACGGUAUGGUUAAAGAAACUAAGGUUGUAUGGUUCUCCUAAGAUUAUAGCCAAACUACUUCCACCGAAGUUCUGUUCAUAUAUUGAAAAUACUUUACCCUUCAGUUCGAUCAUCAUCAAAAGAUGGUUUGCAGGCUGCAUAUCAAAGCAAGCUGUCACCUGAAUAUAAGGCUGACUAUUGUAAUGAGGGAGAAUCAGAGGCACUUCCAUAUAUUCAAACUCUUAGAGAAAUUCCUAUGGAGGAACUUGUAGCAAAAGUUGUCAUGGUCAGAUUUGAUAGUGCAAUUUUUGUUAAAGGAAGAACUGGACCAGAGCUCACAAUCAACUUCUAAAGCAAUUUUCACCAUCAAGUAUACAUGUGUAGGUGGAGCCGAAGUAAUACUUGUGAGCAACUGGAGGAGGAAAUUUAACUCAUAACUUCUUGAUGCUGAGAUUGCUGCCGAUAUCCUAAAUCACUUCUACAACACAAAGUUGUUGUCCUACAAUGUAUUUCUAGUGAUGUGGCAUUGAAGAUGGAAGUCCUCAACAAAUCAUAUCCUUCUUGGGAAUCUUUCUGAGUUUAUAGAGGAAGUUGCCAACUAUUCAAACUUUGCUGAAGUACUAUCAUCAAGAGUUGAUAUUUUUAUUAAUGACUUCUUUUCUUUGUCUCAUAAAAUCUUUGCAUUGAUGGUUGCCAUUGCUCUUUUUGCUCUGCUCAUGUAGCAGGUUUUCAUUUUGAGGAGAGUCUCCAUCAAUUGAAGAAGACCACAGAUCCCAACAAAAAAUCCUACAUUGCAAUUGUAGUCUCUACAACUAUGUACAUGCUUAUAUUAGUAUCUUUUCUUCUAUCCUGUGAAGUUGCUCCUCUUUUCUUAACAAAUUCUGUCCUUUUUUACCUAUUAUGUUCUUCUGCACCGCUUUUAUUACCUGAAUUUUCCUAUUUGAUGCAGGUUGGAGGGGGCAAUUGUUACAUAUUAUAGGAAGAAGUUUAGGAAUAAAAAGGAGGGAAAGGCUGUUGUAACUGAAGGAGACUAGCUGAUGACAGUUAUAGAAGUCAAUAAACAGCUAGAAUUGAUUAGUAAACAGCUGGAAUUGAUUAGAUAAGCAGUUACAACUGCUAAAGUGUAUAAAAUUGGGGAGUUACCUUGUAAUAGCAUAACUGAAAUCUCAGAAAUAAUAUUCUUUUCCCUUCUCUCUAAUUUUCUUCCUAAUUCUUCUUUCUUCCGAUCCUCUUUCUUACUUCUUCUCUCUUAGUUACUUAUUCUUUCUUCUAUUCUCCUAAUUUCUCUUGUUAGGGAUCCAAAACCUUAACAUUUGGUAUCAUAGCUGGUACGUGGUGGAAUUGAUUCAAUUGUUGGUUCUUGUGAGUUGGAAAUAUGACUAGAUCUGUAGUGGUGAGUUCUAAGAUGAUCAAGAUUGCUGAGCUACAGGAGAAAAUGAGAGAUCUCCAAGAGGAGACUCGAGGAAUGAAGGAGGAGGCAAAGAAAACUUCUCUGGAACUUAAUUAUUUUAGGGAGGAAUUUCGGGCUUUCAUGAGCAUUAUGAUGGAGGAAAAAAGCAAAGAAAAAGAAAGGGAAUUUGUAGCAGUGAUGAGGACAGAUCUGGAAUUCAUGAAAACAGGUGGUUGUUACCCAUUCCUUCUCAAGGUAGUUCUGGAAACUCUAAUAAUUCUUUUAGUAGUGAGGGAUCAAACCCUUAUCUACCUAAGAUUGAAUUGUUGACUUUUGAUGGAAAUGAUCCUAGGGUUUGGAUUGGGAAAUGUAUUAAAUAUUUUGAUGUGUAUGGAGUGCCGAAGGAUAAAAGGAUUGGGAUUGCUAGUCUGUUUUUAAUUGAUAAGGUAGAUGCAUGAUUUCAUAACUGGAAUACGGAAAAGAGUCAUUAACUCAACUCAACUCAACUAAGCCUUUAUCCCAAAAAUUUAGGGUCGACUAUAUGGAGGAAUUUGAGCAGAGUAUUUGUGAGAGAUUUGGAGGAUCAAGGGUUACAAGAUAUUGUUGAGGAAUUUAUGAAGUUAAGGCAGGAGGGGAUUGUGGAUGAAUAUCAAGAUACUUUUGAGAAUCUAAGGAUUAGAAUGGAGAGGGUUAUGCCAAAUUUGGGUGAAUCCUAUUUUCUUUCGGGAUUUAUUGGGGGUUUGAAGGAUGAGGUGAGACUUAUGGUAAGAAUGAUGAAACUAACCACUCUUUCUCAAGCUAUGGAGGUUGCCAGACUGCAAGAGCAGCUUUUGAAUGAUACCAGAAGGUACAAAGGUCCUGCUAAGAAUUCUUAUACCACUGCAAGUUUUAGAUCUAUUUCUUAUAGCAAUCCUAACAAUAGCAAUUUUGGUAAUAACUUCAGUUCUAUAAAUGCUAGCCAACCCAAUCAAAAUUCUAGACCUAAUCAACUAUACUCUUACCCUCCAAGACCACCUCUUGUUAAUUCUCUUCCUAAGCCAAAUUUUCCUCUGAAUAAAAUGAUUACUAGUAGUAUUACCCCUGUUGUACCAGCCAAUUCUUCAGUCAACAAACCUUCCAAUCAACCUAAUUCAACUACUAAAACCAACCCAAGACCUUGUUACAAGUGUGGGGAGAAGUUUGUAUCUGGGCACCUAUGUAAACCUAAGACUGCAAUGGCUAUGCAGAUUGAGGAAUUAGAAGGGGAAAAUGAGGAAGAAGGUUUGAAUAUGUUAGAGGAAUCUCAAGAGUUGGAAAAUAUGGGAAAACCUAUGCUAUCAGUAUAUGCUGUGGAAGGAAAGCAAUGGAAUGAAACUAUUAAAGUCCUGGGGAAGCAUAGGAGUAGCUGGUGAUUCUUUUUGACACAGGGAGUACUAAUAGCUUCUUGGAUAGGAAGGUUGCUGAGGAAUUGAAGCUGCCAAUGGUAGAAAUACUAGCUGCCAAUAUUUCUGUUGCUGAUGGGAGAAAAAUUACUUGUGAACACAAAUGUCAACACUUUUCUUGGCAGAUGCGGUCUCAUAAUUUCAAUUUUGACUUGAGGAUUCUGCAGUUGGAAAGUUUUGAUAUGAUUUUAGGGGUUGAUUAGCUUAAAAGUUUUAAUCCAAUUUUGUUUGAUUUUAAAGCUUCAAGGGUUAUAUUGAGUAGUGAUGGGAAACCAAUUGUUUUACAAGGCUUGAAUGUUACUCUUUUGGAGCUGCUCUAAAAUCAUGUGAUACUAUUUCUGAAUUACUGCAGAAAGGAGGGGCUAAUCUAGCAACACCUAUUUUCUGUGUUUCAAUUUCAAAAAGUGAGCAAAAGGAUUCUGUUGUUAAUGCAGUAGCAGUGGAUGUGGAUGAGGGUUUACGGCAGCUGUUGCAAAACUAUCAUAGUAUCUUUGAGGAACCUCAAGGCCUUCCACCAUUUAGAAGCCACAAUCAUGCCAUUCCAUUGAAUUCAACUUCUCAGGCCAUUAAUGUUAGGCCAUACAGUGCCCAAAUUCAGAUUUUGACAACCCAGAACACAGAUGGAGAAUGCUGCAAUGGUCAUUGAUCGAAGCUGUGACAGAUCUGCUUGCACAAGAUGGGAAAGUAAAUACAAAAUUGUCAUGGCUUUGCUUCUGUACAGGUUAACUCAUCGUUAACCAUGAGCUCAGAUCAUUAUGAAUGCAAAACUGCUUGUUCAGGUUAUUUACAGAUUAUUUCUAUAUUACUCUGGGUUUUUCUGCAAUCUGAUGUAGAAGCAGUUGCAGUUAGAAUGAAAAAAUUAUCCCUGAAAUAUGGCAAGGGUAGGCUCACUCUUUUGGAUGACUGAUACAAUACAAAAAUUGAUAAAGAAGCAUGGCUCGAGGAGAAUCCUUUUGGAGUGAGAUCAGACUGGGAAGAUGUCGUAGAUCGUGGGGCCCUAAUGUACAGAUUAAUGCUUUCCAAAUCAACUAAUGUUGAGUAAUAUUAAGAGUGGCUGGUGUGUCAAAGCUGGCUACAUAACAUGAUUUCCUAUUUAGAGGAUAUCAUUAUACUUCUAGAUCUUUUACACAGCAUGUCACUGUUAGUGGGACCUGAGCCUUCCCUUUCUUGGAGGCAGGUAUUUCUUCUGGACAUGUUACCUUGCAUUGGUUAUCCAUCACGGAAAUGCAGCACUACUUUGUAAUAUGAAUUCUCUUUGAGAAGAUGAUAUUUCAGGAAGUUAAUUUUAUGAAAUUGCAGUGUUGGACAGCCCCAAGAGAGAGGGUUUUACACCAGGUGUUAUCAAUAACCUUCAUGGCAAAAGAGAAGACAGGUGACAUAUGUACAAUGAAUGCACUCAUACUAUCGAUUAUGAUGAAUCCACGUGGAAUCCACCUUAAUCAAUGGUCAAAGUAAAAUUGUUGUACAUACAAUUAUUGUAUUGAAUAAUCUUCUGCAGAGAAGAUUAUAUCAUGGGAGCAAUCACCAAAUGCUACCAGUAGUUAUCAAGAUUCUGUCUACUAAACAAGUUAAACAGCUGCUGAGAAAGGCUUCAGCUUAUCCCUUUUUUUUUCGUUCUUUGAUAUAAGUUGAACAGGAAGCAGAGAACUAAUCCUUUUUCAUCU